rnacentral:lncRNA from 1 species
UUAAUAUCUAUCAACAAAAUUUAAUCAAAACAAAACACGCGGCAGAUUUAUUUAUUAAGGAAGACAAAAUACAUAGAUGCAAACAAAGAAAAUCUCUUGCAUACCUUAAGAGAUUUUAACAUUUGAACUGGAAACUGACACCCACACAGAACGAUUAAUAGGUAUUAACCGACCAGUACCCAUUCUUUUAUUCAAUUAAAUAGAACACAAAAGAGUAAUAAUAUAUGCACUCAACCAGUGUGGUCAAGAUUUCUCCUAUAUUGAGGGAUCACAAGAAGAUCAAGAUUAUCAUUUGUAAUCUCAUCGGCAAUACUGAGUGCAGUAAAGUCAACACCUUCCAACCAAUCAUUCUUGCCUGAAAGUUUGACAUCAGAAAACUUAAUUAUUAUAAAUACAUAUAUUAAAAUAUGAAUUGUAAAUGAUAUUCAAUUGAACAUGGCCUGAAAACCUGCGCAAGGAGUUUCCAUAAUCUUCAAAUCAGAAGGGGAAAAGAUCUCUGCUAGCUUCGGGUGAACUCCAAGGUAAGUAGUUGUGCUUGAGCGAGUUCUUAUUUCUGGUUUGAUCAGAUAUAUAUAUCGAUCAAGCGGCCGAAAGUGC